rnacentral:lncRNA from 10 species
GGUUGAGGGUGGUUUUGAUGCUAUUAUGAAGUCAUUCAGGCAGGGACUCGAAAUGCCUCCAUCCUGGCCUGACAGCACCUCUUUUCCCCACAGAGUUUCAAGGGAGCUGUAUACCCAAGGGACAAUAACAAAUUGGGAAUCAUAUACCCAACGUGCCAAUGCAAUGUCCUCUGGUAAAUGGAGGGAAACCAUCCCAGAGCAAGCACUAAAGCAGCAAGGAAGAAGUAGCACAGAUUGGCGUUCUCCUCUGUAUGGAUGGAGACAGUGAGGUAGGGGCAGAUGGGAGUGGUGCAUGAGCUUCUGUAGUCACCAGCAUGUAGAGCCCAUGCCUAUGGUGCUGGAGAGAGGCUUGCCAGUUCCCUGCACAGGCUGACGUGCCCCAGUGGCAGG